AUAUACACCCCCUGUACCAGGUUACCAACUCAGGGUGUUGCGUGUUACUUGUGUAUUAUGACAUCAUCAGUAACACGAAUACGUCCUGGAUUGUUCCAUGGUGAUGUCAUCAAUUGGAUU
rnacentral:precursor_RNA from 10 species